rnacentral:rRNA from 1 species
AACGAACGCUGGCGGCGUGGAUUAGGCAUGCAAGUCGAACGAGAUCCGGAGUGUAGCAAUAUAUUCCGGUGACAGUGGCGAAAGGGUGAGUAUAACGUGGGCAAUCUGCCCUCAAGUUGGGGAUAGCUCUGCGAAAGCGGAAUUAAUACCGAAUGUAGUCGUCUCGCGCAUGCGAGACUAUCUAAAGCUGGGGACCGCAAGGCCUGGCGCUUGAGGAUGAGCCCGCGCCCUAUCAGCUAGUUGGCGGGGUAACGGCCCACCAAGGCUUACGGGUAGCUGGUCUGAGAGGAUGGUCAGCCACACUGGGACUGAGACACUGCCCAGACUCCUACGGGAGCAG